ACACCGAAACUCAUACAAAAUCUAAAAAUCAAAAUAGGUUUGAUCCACUUUUCAAUUCCCACGGAUAAAGAAUUACUAAGAAAGCGCGGCGGUAUAGAGGGCUUCACAAUCCUUUCUCUCACCGGCACCGCCUUUAAUUCAUUCAUAUAUACCACCGAUUUUCCCCUAAUUUUUUUUGUUGUUGCUUUGUUCAAUGGCUACCGCUGAAAUUCCACAAGAUGGAUUGAAGAAACUGGAGUAUCUUUCACUUGUAUCUAAGGUAUGCACUGAGUUAGAAUCUCACACCGGCACCGGCGAUAAGGUUCUCGCCGAGUUCAUCACCGAGUUAGGUCAUUCUUCUAACUCGGUUGAGGAAUUCGACGCUAUACUCAAAGAAAACGGUGCUGAGAUGCCGGAUUACUUUGUUCGAACUCUUCUCACCAUUAUCCACGCUAUUCUUCCUCCUAAUCCUAAAAAAGAGAAAGAGAAUCAGAACGUGAAGAGUUCCACCUCCAAUACUAAGUUCAAGGCUUUGGCAAUUUCAGAUGAUAGGGAUCGUGCUAAGGAGCUUCGAGAAGAGAUCGAAAUCGAAGCUAGAGAGAAACAAAAACAAAUGGAACCACCAAUGGACAGGUAUGAAGAUGAUGGUGGUUACAGAGAUAGAGAUAGGGAUAGAAGAGAUAGACGCAGAGAUAGGUAUGAAGAAGAUGAUAGAAGAGAUCAUAGAAGAGGAAAUGAUAGAGACAGAGAUAGACGCGAUAAAAGGGGGGAUGAUAGAGGCAGAGAUAGGGAUCGAUAUGAGAGGCGGAGGAGAGAUGAAUAUGAAGAUGGAAGGGAGGAGACUGAUGGUAAUCAGAAAGGGAGGAGAGAAAGAGAUUCGAAGCGUGGUGGUGGUGGUUCAGGUGAGCCCGAGUUGUAUAUGGUUUAUAAAGGAAGAAUUUCUAGGGUGAUGGAUACUGGGUGUUUUGUUCAGCUGGAUGAUUUUAGAGGAAAGGAGGGUUUGGUUCAUGUUUCUCAGAUGGCUACUAGGAAGAUUGUUAAUGCUAAAGAGGUUGUUAAAAGGGAUCAACAGGUUUAUGUGAAGGUGAUUUCUGUUUCUGGUUCCAAGUUGAGUCUUUCCAUGAGGGAUGUUGAUCAACAUACUGGGAAGGAUCUUCUUCCGUUGAAGAAGAGCUCGGAGGAGGAGGAUUCAUUUCGGACGAAUCCGCAGGACUCGAAGGAUGGACCAGUGGUUAGGACAGGGCUUUCUGGGAUCAGGAUUGUAGAGGAGGAUGACACUGUUUCUUCGCGCAGGCCGUUGAAGAGAAUGAGUUCUCCCGAGAGAUGGGAAGCACAACAAUUGAUUGCUUCGGGGGUUUUGAGUGUUUCGGAGUAUCCGACUUAUGAUGAUGAGGAAGAUGGAGUGAUGUACCAAGAAGAAGGUGCUGAGGAAGAGCUUGAGAUUGAGAUGAAUGAGGAUGAACCCGCCUUCUUGCAAGGGCAGAGCAGAUACUCAAUGGAUAUGUCUCCUGUUAAGAUCUUCAAGAAUCCAGAAGGUUCUCUGGGUCGUGCUGCUGCGCUCCAGUCUGCACUUAUAAAGGAGCGAAGAGAAGUAAGAGAACAGCAGCAGCGUACCAUGCUUGAUUCAAUUCCAAAGGAUCUCAAUCGUCCUUGGGAAGACCCUAUGCCAGAGUCAGGUGAAAGGCAUCUUGCCCAGGAGUUGAGGGGUGUUGGCUUAUCGGCCUAUGAUAUGCCAGAAUGGAAGAAAGAGGCCUAUGGGAAAACCAUUACUUUUGGGCAAAGGUCAAAGCUUUCUCUUCAGGAACAGAGGCAGAGUUUGCCAAUUUACAAGCUAAAAAAAGAAUUGGUUCAGGCUGUCCAUGAUAAUCAGGUAUUGGUUGUGAUUGGUGAAACCGGUUCGGGUAAGACUACUCAGGUCACACAGUAUCUUGCUGAAGUGGGUUACACCACCAGAGGUAAAAUUGGAUGUACUCAACCCCGUAGGGUGGCUGCAAUGUCAGUUGCAAAGAGAGUUGCAGAAGAGUUUGGGUGUAGAUUAGGAGAGGAAGUUGGUUAUGCCAUUCGGUUUGAGGAUUGCACUGGACCUGAUACCGUAAUCAAGUACAUGACUGAUGGUAUGCUUCUUAGGGAAAUAUUGGUUGAUGAGAGUCUGUCACAGUAUUCUGUUAUAAUGCUUGAUGAAGCCCAUGAGAGAACAAUUUAUACGGAUGUUCUUUUCGGACUGCUGAAGCAGCUGGUGAAGCGUAGACCUGAGUUGCGAUUGAUUGUCACAUCUGCUACUCUUGAUGCUGAAAAAUUUUCAGGAUAUUUCUUUAACUGUAACAUCUUCACCAUUCCUGGGAGAACUUUUCCUGUGGAGAUACUUUAUGCUAAACAGCCAGAAAGCGAUUACUUGGAUGCAUCUUUGAUCACUGUCCUACAGAUCCACUUGACAGAACCUGAAGGAGACAUUCUUCUCUUCUUAACUGGUCAAGAGGAGAUUGAUUUUGCUUGCCAGUCUCUCCAUGAGAGAAUGAAGGGAUUAGGUAAGAAUGUCCCUGAGCUGAUCAUUUUACCUGUUUAUAGUGCCCUUCCUAGUGAAAUGCAAUCUAGGAUAUUUGAUCCUGCUCCUCCUGGGAAAAGGAAAGUGGUUGUGGCUACAAACAUUGCUGAGGCUUCUUUGACAAUCGAUGGGAUAUUUUAUGUUAUUGAUCCGGGGUUUGCUAAGCAAAAUGUUUAUAACCCAAAGCAAGGUCUUGAUUCCUUGGUGAUUACUCCGAUAUCACAAGCGUCUGCCAAACAAAGAGCUGGGCGUGCAGGGCGUACUGGACCUGGAAAGUGUUAUCGUCUCUAUACUGAGAGUGCAUAUAGGAAUGAGAUGUCCCCUACUGCAAUUCCAGAGAUUCAGAGGAUAAAUCUGGGCAUGACUACUCUUAGCAUGAAAGCUAUGGGCAUAAAUGAUCUUCUGUCAUUUGAUUUUUUGGAUCCACCAUCACCCCAAGCACUUAUUUCCGCCAUGGAGCAGCUUUACAGUCUUGGAGCAUUGGAUGACGAGGGUCUUCUAACCAAAUUGGGUAGGAAAAUGGCUGAAUUUCCGAUGGAUCCGCCACUGUCCAAGAUGCUGCUUGCCAGUGUAGACCUUGGAUGCAGUGAUGAGAUUUUGACCAUAAUUGCCAUGAUCCAGACUGGCAAUAUUUUUUACAGGCCCAGGGAGAAACAAGCCCAAGCAGAUCAGAAGAAGGCUAGGUUUUUCCAGGCAGAGGGUGACCAUCUUACACUACUUGCUGUUUAUGAAUCCUGGAAAAGUAAAAACUUUUCUGGACCCUGGUGUUUUGAGAACUUUGUUCAAUCUCGAUCGUUGAGAAGAGCCCAGGAUGUUAGGAAACAACUUCUCUCCAUCAUGGAUAAGUACAAAUUGGAUAUCGUGAGUGCUGGAAAAAACUUCUCCAAGAUCAGGAAGGCUAUCACUGCAGGGUUCUUUUUUCAUGCAGCUAGAAAGGACCCCCAGGAAGGUUACAGAACCCUUGUUGAGAAUCAGCCUGUAUAUAUUCAUCCAAGUUCGGCUUUGUUCCAGAGGCAGCCAGACUGGGUCAUAUACCACGAGCUUGUAAUGACAACUAAGGAAUAUAUGCGCGAGGUAACAGUCAUAGACCCCAAAUGGCUUGUUGAAUUGGCUCCAAGAUUCUUCAAAGUGGCAGAUCCUACAAAGAUGAGUAAACGGAAGCGUCAAGAACGUGUUGAACCACUCUAUGAUAGAUACCACGAGCCAAAUUCAUGGCGUUUGAGUAAACGUCGUGCUUGAUAUGCUUUCUCAGUUUCUCUUAAUGCAAGGUCCUGGAUACAUUUUAUGUUGAAUUUAGUUUUAAAUAUGUUGGCAGCACAGAGGCUAGUCCAAGUAACUCUCUAGUACCUUUGUAUCCGUUGGAUUAUUCAUUGCCAUCUCUUGAUGAGGUUUGUUAUGACUUAUGAUUAUCUGUUCUCGAAUUUUCUGGUCAAUCUUUGUGCAUUCAAAACGCUAACCAGUCCUUGUUGAACUUAUACAACAUACUGCCUAAACGUGAACUGCUCUGACUUGUGAAAUACUCACAAAUAUAUGCACUAGCCUUUCUAUUCUGGGCCGGGUGAAGAUGCCAUUAAAGAAGUGCCUGGCGAAAUUUGAUGCUUCAGAAAAUAACACAGAAGAAAGUUGUUCUGAAAAAAGUCAAACUACACAACAAUCAUGUACUAGGAAUGGGCAAACUCAGGUCAACCAACCCGAUGCAAUCGGGUCCAACCGGUUCGGGUUAAUACGGGUCACGGGUUGUAUGUGUGCACUUUUCAGGUUAUGAUGGGUUUAUUCGGUUCGGUUCGGGUGGACAGUUUGAACCCUUAUGUACCCUAACCCGAACCGAAUCAUUAUUACUAUUAAUUUUAUUUAUUUAUUUAUUAUUAAUUGUUUGUGUGAA